GGACAUUUCUGAGUGGAUCUCAGGCCUCCCUUUCUGAGAGGAAUCGGGGGUACAUGAGAUCACUGUGGAUCAGGUGUGGGAGUAAAGAUGUGAAGGGAGUGACCCUCUGUUUUCUUUGCUCCCAGGGAAUCGAUAAAGAUAGAUGAAGCUUCUUCAAACAUAAACAGAGCCCACCUUUGUUCUCCACUUCAAGGAGUUAAUCUCUGAGGAAGUAAACAUCAUCUCUCAGCUUUAGCAGAAGGGAAGCUGCCAUUCCACGAGGGCAAGUCAAACUGGAUGAAGGUGCAUUAAAAAGGCAGAAAAAACGGUGAAGGGCAGGAUGGCUCAUCGAAUCUCUCACCCUUGCCUAAUGGUGUGCGGACAAGAAAAUGUCAAGUGGGCAUACUGGAAGCAUGUGGCCAAGAACAGCGCCCUCAUGGAGGAGGGGGGGUGCCCUUCAGGGUUCCCCCACCUUCCUGAGACCCAGAUACAGGCACUGCUGUCAUCCACCCUCUCCGCGAUGGACACGUGUGCCCACCCAGCGGCGGGCGGGGCUCAAAGCUAGACCACACUGCCACAGCUGACAGGAAAGGCUAGAAGAAUAGGCUGAAUGCUGCCCUGUGCUCGGGCAAGUCUCGUCUCUGCUUUUGCCAUGGACAUGAUGUCAGCGUCCCACAGAAAACUCAGCAUUGUCAAAUGCUUUGCAAACAGAACAUGUGUCAGAAAAAUGCACAUUCCCAAGGCCUGCAGGUGGCUGGGCCAGCCACAUCUGUCAUUCCGCCGACGAGGACGCCCUAAUUCCCCCCAGGGCUAUAAACCUCACUUCUCACCCGGACUCUGGACACCAUCACUCAAGGGCCAUUGGAGCAGGAGGGGCUGCCCACGUGACCUAAUGACUUAACCAGGUGAGGCUCCUAGGCACUUUGGGUUUUUAGACAACGGUGCCUCAGAGGAAGUGUUCCCUACCGCUCUGGGGGAAACGGGCAACUGUAAAUCAGGUAACAGUAUGGCACUGACUUAUUUAUCCUUGUAAGAGUUUCACAUUCUGAAGUCAACAAGGGACCCAUUGCCCGAUCCACGGCCAAUUUGCAGUCAGCACUUAGGGAAAUCUUAAUCCCCCUUGUUUGGCCGGGGGGCCUGCCAGGGGCUUGUAGGAGCCAAGGCACCCCAUAGCGCCGAGCCCGAUCCAUCGAUCGUGUCUCUUGGUCUGGGCCAAAUGUCAUCUUCCCAGGGACAGAAAGUCACCAAACAGUGGGAAACAUUUACUCUCUGCUCGAAGAAUGCUCUUUCCCUUCUUUCCACUUGUCCUCUGUGUUCUUCCUCCGUGAGGGAAUGUGUGGCUGGACAGUGGCUGCACCCAGGCAGACAUGCUGGCGAAUCCCAAGACGUCGACGCAGUUCGAGAGCAGCUUUCAGGACUGAGGCUGCUGCUGGUUAGCGGUCAAGGCCGAGGCCGAGCUCAGUGCCCCAUCACCAGUUAUGGUGCGUCCUUACAAGAGAGCAUCAGGAAGCUAUGAAAAAUAUUGUUUUCAAUGAAUUUUUAUGACUGAAAAAUGCUCAUGACAUGAAUUAAGACCAAAUGAAGAUGUAAAACCCACAUGCGGAUACAGAACAUGACCCAAACGAUCUA